rnacentral:rRNA from 1 species
UACGGGGGGGGGCAAGCGUUGUUCGGAAUUACUGGGCGUAAAGGGCUCGUAGGCGGCCAACUAAGUCAGACGUGAAAUCCCUCGGCUUAACCGGGGAACUGCGUCUGAUACUGGAUGGCUUGAGUUUGGGAGAGGGAUGCGGAAUUCCAGGUGUAGCGGUGAAAUGCGUAGAUAUCGGGAGGAACAUCAGUGGCGAAGGCGGCAUCCUGGACCAACACUGACGCUGAGUGAGCGAAAGCCAGGGGAGCAAACGGG